AUUGUUAUUAAAAAUAAAGGGAGACCUCAAAGGUGUUACCAUUGAGUAAUAAUGCUUCAAAUCAAUGCCUAUAGUUUUAAAUAAUGAUAUAAAUUAUUAAAUAUUUUUCGUAUUUUCGCGAAAACUGACAACGUGUUUUAAAGCCUUUGGUACAGUGAAAUGCACAAAUACUUCAAGUUAACUUCUACAUAUACAUCCAAAAUCAUCUCUGCACAUGUGUUCAAUAUUUUCUGAUUUAAAAAAAUUCAAACUGCCACGCAAAACGU